rnacentral:rRNA from 1 species
CAGCAGCCGCGGUAAAACGAAGGGUGCAAGCGUUAAUCGGAAUUACUGGGCGUAAAGCGUGCGUAGGCGGUUUGUUAAGUCUGCUGUGAAAUCCCCGGGCUCAACCUGGGAAUGGCAGUGGAUACUGGCAAGCUAGAGUGUGUCAGAGGAUGGUGGAAUUCCCGGUGUGGCGGUGAAAUGCGUAGAGAUCGGGAGGAACAUCAGUGGCGAAGGCGGCCAUCUGGGACAACACUGACGCUGAGGCACGAAAGCGUGGGGAGCAAACAGGAUUAGAUACCCCCGUAGUCCCUGUCUCUUAUAC